CGGACUGGCGGCAUGCCUAAGACAUGCAAGUCGAACGAAGAGGCCCUUUGAAAUUGGAGUGCUGCACAAGAUGGAUUGGAUUUCUCUAGUGGCAGACGGGUGAGUAACGCGUGGGUAAUCUACCUCAAAGACUGGGAUAACUUCUGGAAACGGACGCUAAUACCGGAUAACACAUAUUUAGAUAACUAGAUAUGUUAAAAGGGGCUUCGGCCUCACUUUGAGAUGAGCUUGCGUUGUAUUAGCUAGUUGGUGGGGUAAUGGCCUACCAAGGCAACGAUGCAUAUCCGAGCUGAGAGGCUGAUCGGACACAUUGGGACUGAGACACGGCCCAGACUCCUACGGGAGACAGCAGUUAGGAAUAUUCGUCAAUGGGGGAAACCCUGAACGAGCAAUGCCGCGUGAAAAUGAUGACAAUCCUCUGGAUUGUAAAAUUCUGUUGUAAAGGACGAACCCUUACUAUAGGUAAUGAUAGUAAGCUGACGGUACUUUACCAGAAAGCCCCGGCUAACUACGUGCCAGCCGCCGC
rnacentral:rRNA from 1 species